rnacentral:lncRNA from 1 species
CCUCCCUCAUUACCAAUGUUAUCCUCUUCCUCUGGGCUAUGGGCUCCUCUGCUUCUGGUGCAACGCGCUAUUCUCUACAUCACGAAAAGCGUAUAGGUCGGACUGUGUAUGCGCCAUGUUAAACGUCCACAUGAGACUUUUUCGCAGAGUUCCAAUCAUUGCAAAUCUUCGAAUAUAAAUUACCUCUGCAUGAGUCCUGUGUGUCGAUUGCACGGCAUCCGUGCUUUCUAAAUUCAAAGGCGACUGUAGCCUGGAGCUUGCGAUGCGACUGCUGGAUAGUAAUUUAUGACAUCUGAUAGCUUUCAAGGACACUGGCUGCCUCGUCAGACCCAAAGCGCUGGCAUGCAACUGAACAUGGAGGCAAUUACAGAAAAUUCCCCUAGUGUGCAACAUACAACUGAACGCCAUUACGGGUGCCUUAAAAUUGUUCUCGAUGCGAUGACACUGUCUCAAUCAUU